rnacentral:rRNA from 1 species
UACGGGGGGGGCAAGCGUUGUUCGGAAUUACUGGGCGUAAAGGGUGCGUAGGUGGGCAGUUAAGUCAGUGGUGAAAUCUCCGAGCUUAACUCGGAAACUGCCAUUGAUACUAUCUGUCUUGAAUAUCCUGGAGGUGAGCGGAAUAUGUCAUGUAGCGGUGAAAUGCUUAGAUAUGACAUAGAACACCAAUUGCGAAGGCAGCUCACUACGGGGUCAUUGACACUGAGGCACGAAAGCGUGGGGAUCAAACAGG